AGCAGCCGCGGUAAUUCCAGCUCCAAUAGCGUAUAUUAAAGUUGUUGCAGUUAAAAGCUCGUAGUUGAAUUUCGGGGUUAGUAGGUUGGUCAUGCCUCUGGUAUGUACUGGUCUCACUGAUUCCUCCUUCCUGAUGAGCCGUAAUGCCAUUAAUUUGGUGUUGCGGGGAAUUUGGACUGUUACUUUGAAAAAUUAGAGUGUUUAAAGCAAGCUAACGCUUGAAUACAUUAGCAUGGAAUAAUGAAAUAGGACGUUCGAUCCUAUUUUGUUGGUUUCUAGGAUUGACGUAAUGAUUAAUAGGGAUAGUUGGGGGCAUUAGUAUUCAAUUGUCAGAGGUGAAAUUCUUGGAUUUAUUGAAGACUAACUACUGCGAAAGCAUUUGCCAAGGAUGUUUUCAUUAAUCAAGAACGAAAGUUAGGGGAUCGAAGACGAUCAGAUACCGUCGUAGUCUUAACCAUAAACUAUGCCGACUAGGGAUCGGAUGAUGUUAAUUUUUUAAUGACUCAUUCGGCGUCCCG
rnacentral:misc_RNA from 1 species